rnacentral:lncRNA from 1 species
UCCCAUAUUAAUGUGCUACUGAUGUGCCAAACCAAAAAAAAAAAAAAAAAAAAAACAAAUAUCAAAUAGGAAUAGAAUGAGAAAGGAGAAAACAACUCUAAUCUUCACAACUCUCAUUGGCUUUAUUUCUCUGUAUUUUCUCUUUUGUUGGGGUUGCCUCCCAUCUGUUUCAUGAUGGUUGUAGUGUUGAAUUACUUCUCUUGUUUCUCCCUUUGUUCCUCUCUCAUUUCUCCCCCUCUUCUCUUUGGUUUUUCCAAUGUCUUUUUCUUGUUUUCCUCUCUGCCUCCGACUCUGUCUCUCCUCUCUUUCUCUUUCUCUUUCUCUCUCUCUUUCUCUUGCGUUUCCUUUGUUUUUCCGUCUUUUUUUCAUUGAUUUGUGUGGAGAGGGAAAUUCACCACCACCUGCCCUUUGAUGGCCUUCAAAUAAGUCAUUUGCUCUACCUUGCUAUUUCCUAUGGUUAAAUUUCCAUUCUAUAUUUUUUCUUUCCUUUUUUCUAUAAUAACAUUUGUUGGAAUUGGAAUUUUUUCCCACCCAUAUAAAUCAUUAUAAACUUUUAUAAGGAUGUUAUAUGAAAAUAGAAAUAUAUGACACUUACUUUUUAAUUAUUUUUUUCUUAUUUUAUAGUAUUGUUUUUCCUUUUAUAAUUACAAAAUAGAUGCCAAUUAUAUAAUUUAAUUAUUAUUUUUCCCAAAUAGAAAAAAUUACCUAAUUCAACUGUUAUUUUUUUUUCAGGUAGCAAAAAAUUUAUGCAAUCCAAUUAUUAUUAUUUUCCAGUUCUUUUAUGGAAUUAUUAAUAUGAUUCUUUGUGAUGUAAAUGAAUUUAUCCUUUAUUUAUUAUACAUAUAGUUUAAAUUAUUUUAAAUAUUUAUCACCUAUGAAAAUUGGAGUCUUAAAAGGCUUAUGCCUCGCCUUGUGGGCACCAAAACACUUUGCCUUGCGCAUUUGCGUUUGAAAACUUCGAUAAUAACCACUAAGAAAACUGGUGUCUGGUUGAUUGUAAAUAAAGUGACAUUUAAGGUCUACAUAAUUAGAGCCUGGGAUAGCUCCUUAGUGAAGAUACUUUUUUAGCUUCAAAGUUCAACAUCAUGGGUAUUGCCUUCUGACUCGAAGGUAAAAACAAUGUUUGUUGACUUGAAACUUUAAAAGGCUUAUACCCUAAUGCCUCAAGGCUUAUGCCUCGCCUUGUGGGCACCAAAACACUUUGCCUUGCGCAUUUGCGUUUGAAAACUUCGAUAAUAACCACUAAGAAAACUGGUGUCUGGUUGAUUGUAAAUAAAGUGACAUUUAAGGUCUACAUAAUUAGAGCCUGGGAUAGCUCCUUAGUGAAGAUACUUUUUUAGCUUCAAAGUUCAACAUCAUGGGUAUUGCCUUCUGACUCGAAGGUAAAAACAAUGUUUGUUGACCUAAAACUUUAAAAUGUUGAAACCAAAGCCUCAAGGCUUAUGCCUCACCUUGUGGGCACCAAAAACACUUUUGCCUUGCGCAUUUGCGUUUGAAACUUUCGAUAAUUAACCACUAAGAAAACUGGUGUCUGGGUCGAUUGUAAAUAAAGUGACAUUUAAGUCUACAUAUUAGAGCCUGGAAUACUCCUUAGUGAAGAUACUUUUUUAGCUUCAAAGUUCANNNNNNNNNNNNNNNNNNNNNNNNNNNNNNNNNNNNNNNNNNNNNNNNNNNNNNNNNNNNNNNNNNNNNNNNNNNNNNNNNNNNNNNNNNNNNNNNNNNNCCCCCCCCCCCCCCCCCCCCCCCCCCCCCCCCCCCCCCCUUUUUUUUUUCUUUUGAUAGGUUAAAAUGUUGAAACCCUUGUUCUUUUGGUUACUGCCAAUGAUAUAUCUGAAUGAUGAUGUGUUAGGAUAUGAAUAAAUAUUCGGUUUAACUCCUAGAUAUCUUGAACCCCUAUAAUCAAAAUUUUAGUUGAGUUAAAAUAAAAAAGCCAUAAGCCUGGCUGGAAAUGGUUAGGGCAAUCUUUUUGCCAAUGGUAUAUCUGAAUGAUGAUGUGUCAGGUUAUGAAUAAAUAUUCUGUCUAAUUCCUAGAUAUCUUCAAGGGCAGUUUUUUCCUCUUUUCUCUUCAUGCAUACUGGCUUUGUUAUUUUAGUUUCUCUAAGUAUGUUUUUUUUGUCAGUCCAGUCUAGAUAUAGUAAAUAUAGAAUGGUGAAUAAGCUUCAGUGGAACACAAGGCUACUUCAAAAAAAAUAAUACUGGACAUGUAUGGUUCAAGAAACAUAUCUAUUGUUUGUGUUCUAUUAUCAAUUUGAAUGAUUUGGCUGGCUAUACUUUUUUAUUUUUUUCAAGUUCCAUGAUGAAGUUAUACAAGAUUGAAUCAUUAUAAGGUCCAUAUGAUUUACAUGGAUAUGUCAGUAUAGAUUACAUGUAUAGCAUUUUUUUAUCGGUACCUGAGAAUUCAUUGUAAUCUAAUUUCAGCUUUUCUUGUUUCACUUACGUCUUCUAUAUUUUAAGGUUUUUUUGUGUGAGGAACUGAAUCCACCGGUGUCCAGGAAAAGCAUUUUCUUGCGCAUCAAUAUAAUUAAUAUACUUGAGAAAAUCUUUUUAAAAUUUUUGUUUCAUCAUCUUGUCUGAAAUAGGUUGCACAGCUUAGAAUAACACCUCGAGUUCUAGUUGGUCACAGCUUUGGAGGAAAAGGUAAGUUAUAACUAGUCUAACUUAUUCCAAUUCAUGGAUGAUACAUGAUGAUUAAAUUAUAGAUUUUUUUGCUAACUGCUUAAUCCACUCCCUAAAUUUUCAUGCAGUUGUCUUGAGCAUGGUGGAACAAGCUGCAAAACCUCUUGCACGACCAGUCAGAGUAAGUUUGAAGUCUGCUAGAAAUUGUUAAGGUGGUUUUGAAUUUUGGUAGGGUGAAAAAUUGUGUCCCCCCACCCCACCAAAAAAGGAGAAAACUUUGGUUAUGUAGACAUUGAAUAAUGUAAAGAUUAUGCCAGUUUAAGAAACACUGAACUAAAUUAUCAAGUGAAGUUAUGUUAACUUUGAGUUCAAGGUGAAAUCUGGUAAUUCCAGAACUGGUAAUCUUCAUGAAAUUUGAAUUGUGGUUCAAGCAAUUAUGAUCUAUUAUUCUUUUUUUUUUUUUUUAAUUUUAUAAUCUAUUUUUAUUAGGUUUGGGUUCUAGAUGCAACUCCUGGGAAAGUUCGUCCUGGUGGAGAUGGAGAGGAUCAUCCAGAGGAACUAAUAUCUUUCCUUAGUAAAAUGCCCAAUGAGGUGAAUUUCUGGUCCAUUGUUGUUUUCCUAUUUUUAAUAUAAUGAGUUCCAUUGGAGACAUAAACAUCUAAUUGGCAUCUUCGUACGGUGUAUUUCUUUUCUUUAUGUUGAAUUAAAAAAUUUGUAAUUUCCAGAUCAGUCAACCAAGUUGUGGAGCAACUACCUCAACAACUGAGGCUUUUUUUGGGGACCUCUUGCCUCCCGUAGUUACUUUUCUUGUUGAUCUUGUAGUUAUUGCUGUGCUACCAUGUUUCCUUAUUUGUUGGUUGUACUCCUGCAUUUUCUUUUUCUGAAAUAUUCGUUCCAAAGGGCCAAAAUAUUUUCUACUUUGAAAAAGAACCUCCAUGUUUUGAAAAUUGUAAAUGUAACCUCAAAUGUACGAAAAUGCCCCUUACCUUCCUUUGUAAAAAAUGCAUUGAUGUGAAAUGGGUAUAAAAAGUUUGAUGAAGGGUUUUUUGGUCCAAAAGGGUUAUUUUUUUGUGUUUUGGAAAAGUGGAGGGCAUUUUUGUGAAAUAGGGUCAUAUUUUGACCCUUUUAAUCAAAUAUCCACUUCUUUUCUUUUUUCUAUUCUCUUGCAGUCUUCUAGUAGUCUCUGGUAUUCAAGGAUAAGUCAUCCUUCCUUGGAAUUUUUACCGAUAAAUAGUUAGUUUUUGACAAAUGGAAGAACUAUUCUUAGGUGUUAUGUGUCUUAACGGGUUUUCACUAUUUUGGUCUUUUUUAUUUUUAAUUUUUUUAUUUUAGCAGUUUAGUAUCUUACAUCAUUAAGUUUAUGUUUGGUUCUUGAUAACUACUAAGAAAAGGAGGGAACAAAAAAACCAGGGAAAAUAAUUUUCUCAUGUUUAGUUUACCGUGGAAAAUGUAGAAGAAAAUCAAAUAUAAUUAAAAUUAGUUAGAAACUUCUAUAUUUUCAAAUUAUUUAAUCUUUAUAUAGACAAGAAAAAAUAAGUGAAAUGAGCUUGGAGAAGUGUGUAAAAAUAAUUUAUUAACUCUACAUAUGUUUUUCAUUUUUCUUCACUUUUUCUUUUAGUCUAUUUUUCCUUUCUUUUUUCUUUCUCUCACAUUGUCUUCAAAUUUUCCAAGAACCAAACAUGGGGUAAUGAUUCCUUAUUCUCUCUUCCAAACAAAAAUGCUACUCCCAUCCAGUUUUUUUUUUCUUUGAUAGGAAAAAAGCAUAAAUAUAUUAGACAUGCCUAAGAAAAGGCGCAUCAAUGGACACAUGGUGUAUACAUAUGACUCCCACGAAAGGCGUGCUGAAAAAGGAGGGAAAAUACAAUAGACAACCAUUAAGCUUAGCCAAUCAACAAAGUUAGUCAUUGAGCUACUCCAAUCUUAUGUCAUGUUUUGUUGCCUAUCUUGUGAAGGAGAACGUAUUUAAUAGAAGUUGCAAUCUUAAAAUAAAUGAAUAACUAAAUGACAUGUGGCUUUACAAUCAUAGGUCUUGCGGUUAGUUAGGAAAAACUUAGAGCUUGUUUAGAAAUGAUUAAUAUAAAAACGCUUUUGUCAGUAACGCUUUUAUCAAAAGCACUUUAAUGAAAAAUAAUUAGUGUUUGGAUAUAAACAACAGAAAUAUGCUUUUGGUCAUGUUUUUGGGAAUUAUCAAGGGAUACUUUUGGUAGAUGUUUUAUUUGAAAUUCAAUUGCCUCUUUUUUUUUUUUUUUUUCUUUUUUUGAGAAAAGCACAUGUCAAAUGCAAGUGCAAGAAACAAUUCAACUGAUUUUCUAUACUUUGAAGUGUUCUUUAAAUUUUUUCCAAAUGCCUCAUUUUUAUAAGGAAAGCCCUCUUUGAAUCACUCCUAAAUGGACUCUAGGUGUCCAAUCCAUGAGUGGACCAAGUUAGUUCAAUUCUCUACCUAUUGGAAAUAGGACCAGACGAACAUUGGUGGAGAACCAACUCAAACCGAAGAAUUGAGUCUCAGUUGAAUUGGUUUGAAGGUUGAUGCAUCCUGACUUGCACCUUUAAUAUGCUUAGCCCAGUAGUUUGUAUGUGCAAAACAUUAACCUUGGGCUGAGUUGCCAGUAUAUAAUUUCAUGUACAUAAGUUUUUUCAGUGAAUAUCAGUUGCAUUUGUCUUCUGAAACAUUGAUGUAGUUGAAAUUUUAAUCCUGGAGUUCAAAAAGAUAUGCAUUUGUGCCCUUCAUUAUCAGAGUUUCAUUAUUAUUUUGGAGUAUGACUGGAAAAUCUUAACUCUGGUGGAGAAUCAUUUGUUACCAAUUAUCAUUCCUCAAAUGUGGGCAGUUUGAUUUCCAAAUAAAUACAAUUGUUGCAUUAGUAAACCUUUGGUCUUUCUGUUGUAUUAUUUUUAGUUUAUUAUUACUAAUCAUCAUGUUUGUCAGAAAAACAAAAAAAUUGUUACUAAUUGUCAUGUUCACUCUACUUAUGUAUGAUUAUUCCAGUAAUCAGCUUUUAUAAUUUUUCAUGUCAUUUGUUCCUUGUUGCAGUGAACCAAUUUUAAGCUUUAUAAUAUUUAAUUUAUCUUGUAAAAUAUUUUCCUUUUUGGGCAUGAUUAUGAGCAUCUUAUAAUCUCUUCUUUAUGGAAGGUGUUUUCAAAGCGGGAUGUUAUGAAUGCUCUUAUUAAAGAAGGAUUUUCCAAAGAUGUGGCACAGGUAAUAUCAAACAUACAAGCUAAUUUGGUUUUACUUAGAUCUCAAUGGUUUACUUUCAAGUUGGGAUGGUGAAACUCAUGAUGAAUAGAAUGUUAUAGAUUUUCUCCAUCUUUUCCUAUUUUCUUUUCUGGUCUUAGCUUAGUUUUUUUGUUGUUAAAUUUCAUAUCGUUGGUGAUUUCCAAAACCUUGGUAAAUUUUUGGUCAUGUUGCUUUUGUCCUAGGAUACAUUUAUUCUAGACUACAACACUGCCAGUUUGAAUGUGCAACAUUUCUGUUGACCAACUUGACAAAUGCUAUUUGGUUAAUGGUUUGGUAAGUCUUAUUAUUGUGGAUGAGAUGAAAAAAAGAUUAUGAGUGCUGCUUAAGCAAUUAGUUUGUUGCAUCAAGAUAUUUUUAAAACAUUAAAGCUUGUAGUAGGGAAUUAUUGUCGCUUUUUUGUUCGAUCUUUGAAUUAUUUUUUCCUUUUUUAUUUUGAAUUUCUUAUACAUCCCCCAAAAUUUUAUGUUCUUCUCAUUUUUGUUCUCACGUCCAGUGGGUGGUAACAAACCUCCAACAGACCAGUUCCCCUGGUUCAUCAUCGCCAAGCUUCUCAUGGGUGUUUGACCUCAAGGGAAUUGCUGAGAUGUAUCAAUCCUAUGAAGAAACAAAUUUAUGGUAUUCAUGUUCAGAACUUGUUUUUCAUCUUGAAUUGAUGUCAAAUCUCAUAUUAUUCUUCUAAAUACGGCUUAUUUCUGAAGAUCUUCUAAUUUGAUAAAUUAAUAGCAAUACCACUGACUUGUUAGUAGACUCUGACAUGGGUUGAGGUAGCAAUACCACUAUCUUUGCAAGGGUUGAGGUAGGAGUUCAACUGGGGGUUGGAGUUGGUGGAGUUCUUUAUGGAUGAGGCUUGUUGAUGUGGAGAUUAGGUGAAAUGGAAGGGUUUAAAAGAGGAGAGGUUUUCCUUAGAACUUCUUUUGAUUUGAUAUCGGUAGGAGUAGUUGUCAACUGCCCUGCUUUAGAGACUUGGAAAACUGCCAACACUCUGAAAGUGGCCUAUCUUUUAUCUUGAUGGGAGGAUAGGAGAGGAUUUUGACACCAAAUCAUUUGGUGUGCAGAUGGAGGUACUUGGCAAAUUGGUGUUGCAUGUGCAGACAUGGAGUCAGUUAACCAUCUUUUGAGCCCUUGUCCUGAUGCUUGGGCUUUUGGGACUGGUUUUCAUGCUUUUUUGUAGUUUCUUGGGUGCUUCCAAGAACAAUAGGAGAGCUACUUGUGAAUUUGUUUGGAGAUAUAGGAGGCAAGAGUGGAGUAGUGUUCCCUUCAAGUUAUAGGGGAAUGAAACUCCUGACAGCAGACUAUAAGAUUGUUUUAAGAUCUUUGCAUGCUUUGGACAGAGGGUGAUCUUUUGAUCUGGACAUGCUCUUUUAUGAGCUCAUAAAUAGUUUAGGUUAUACACAGGUUAAGAAGCUAUUGGCUUUUGUUUGCUUUGUUUUCUGUCCUUUUUUUUUUUUUUUUUUUUUUGCCUUAUUUUCUUCUCACUUCCUGUGGGCUGUCCAUAUAAACUGCCUGUGCCCUUCGGUUGCACUGCCCUCAAUGCUUUUCUAUUACAUUUAUUUUCCUAUUAAUGGAAACUAUGUUGACAUCUUGCAAUUCUUGGAGGUUAACCUAAAUACAAUCUUGCCUUUUAAACCCUUGCUUCAAGCGCUAUCCAAGCUUUAGGUCCCUAACCCAAUCUCGACUCAAGCUCAUCUUUUCUGAGCUCCGGGUCAGGCAGGUCCUAGUUAUUAGGUUUUGAUUAGGUUAAAUGACAGAGGGAGAGAAAAAAAAAAAAGAAGAGAAAGACAAGCAAUGAAGACAGACAACCAAGAACACAAUUAUUGAUAUGGAUGCAAAAAGGCUUGCAAGUAGGAUUAACAACAUUCCCCUUGCAUAGUUGAUUCGGAGGCAGUAGGGGUUUAGCUUUCAGGCCAUGGUACCGUUGUAGUUGUCUGGAUAACAAAGAUGAGGGUUCUGGGACUUCAUGCCAGGUGUGGGUCAUGAUGAUGUGGUCUAGGUUUGGUGUUUGGGUAGGUGAGGUGAAGAAGAGUUUUUCAAAGGUUGAUGGUGAUGGAAGUGAUCCAGAGUGUGCUGUAAUUGGCAGGUCAUUAUAGUGAUAUUACCGUGGAAGAAGUAUAGCAAUUAUAGAGGAAAAACUCCAACCCUAGACAGACAUUGACUUCAGGCUGAGGUUUCUGGGUUUCUUUGGUGCUUUAACCUGUAAAUUUGGCACAUGGACCCUAAUGCUAGCCCUAGAUUGAUUCAUACAAAACUGGCUGCAAUCUGUUCAAUUACUAUUACUUUUGUUUGAUAGUAAUAAUAACUAAUUGAUAAGAUAGAUUAGGUUUAGAAAAGCCUUUUGCCCUGGCCCAACCUGGACUGAGGUUGCGUUGAUGUUUCUUUAGAAAAGUUGCAUUUGUAUGAUAGUGGGAUUUACCAUAUUCGAGUAUAGAGAGCCGAAAAAGGGCACUUCCCAUGGACAUGUUCCUCUCAAAUCCUUUUCUUGGACCUGUUCUUCCCGAAUCCCACCUUGGGUUUAUCAUCUCUUUUCCUUAUCCUUCUAUUGUCAUCGACCGAAGCUAAAUGGGUGUUAGGAUUUACCAAACCGGUGCACUGAAAAACUGAGCUGAUGACUGGCAACUAACUCUUAAAGCAAGGAGUCAGGAUGGUGAUGGGAAGUUCUGGGAUUGAUUACAUGUACUAACCAGAGAAAAAAAAUAGUUCCAUAUUAAAAAACUAUAAAAAAUAUAAGAAAUAGAGAAAUACUUGGCUUGUGACAAGAGUGCUUUUACCCAUUUGCCAUAUUGACCCUGUUUUGACCAUAUUACCUCUUAAUACUUUUUAAAAUUCAUGCAGGAAUAUUGUGGAAGAUGUACCACGGGGUGUGCAUGUGAAUUUUUUGAAAGCAGAAAGGAGCUUGCACAGGUGGGCCCUUGAGGAUCUUCAGAGGAUUCAUGCUGCUGAGGAUCUGGCUGCUGAUGAAGGUGGUGGAGUGGAAAUGCAUGUUCUUGAAGAUGCUGGUCAUUGGGUAUGUGGCUCUCACCUGCUUCAAUUCUUACAAUUAUCUUCUGAACCACCUAGUAUACACUUUACAGGUGUGCUUAUGCUUGCAUUUCUUUUAACAAAAAAGGGGAAAGACCUCCCUCAGUCAGCUGGUCUAAAACAAAUUGUUCACCAUAAAACACAAAUCAAAUGGCUUGAUGGUCCAGCUCAACUGGAUUAGUGGUGAUAAAAAAUGGUCUAAAAUGAAAUUUAUGAAUAAAAUGGACUGUUUGUUGCUUAAAAUCAUGAAAUAUGUCUUCUGAAAAAUCUAUAGUUUUAGCAAGGUUGAGGUUUCUUUUCCUAUAGUUGUUUUGAUUGCUAUUAUUUGGAAACUAAAUGAAGAAACUUAUAUGACUUCCUUUGCCAACCCCAGCCCCUUGUGAUUCCCAAGUCAGUUACCUUUUAACCCAAUACUACUACCAUAAGUUCAGUCUUUUUUGUCAAAAGACUCUUAGCCUUUGCUUAGCAAACAGUUUCAUCCGAAAAUGUAUCAAAUGGAAAUAGCGUCCCAUGCUUCUGGUGUUGGCUUAGGUAGGAUUGUAUUAGAAUCAUCUAAAGACAACUUUAAUGGCUGUUCAAUCCUGGAAUCACUAAUUUCUUUAUAAUCCUUGGCAGGUGCACGCUGAUAACCCAGAUGGCCUCUUCAGGAUUCUCUCCUCUUCCUUCCAAGGAAUCAAAACCUAACGAACUCCCGAAUUUUCACUCCGGUUCAGUGUCAGCAUUCCUCAAGUUUUAACCAAUCGUUGUUUACCGUCUUCAUACAUUUAGCUUUUCUUUUCAAAAUUUCUGCAUUUGUUUGUAUCAUAAUAGUUGUGCAUAUUCUUUUCUUCCCAUGUCUGUUCACCACAAGUCAUCAUUGGUUUGUCCCAAUACUAAAGUGACCACUUCUUGAAUCAAUCAGUUUUGUAAUGCAUAGCAAAGGUUUUAUAUACCAUUAGGAUCACCAUCAUGGAAGUCCUGAAUAAACGCGUUCGCUGGCUGCCAAAAAUGGAUUCUGGGAAAAUUCUUUGAAAUUGCAGUAGCUGGAAGGAAACAGGAAGGAGGGAAAAAAAGGGGAAAGAAAAAGAAAAACUGGUUAUCGGCUCAAAGGAGAUGAGACAAGGAGACUUCCUAUACGUAUCUUUGGUUUCUAGUGCUUCAUUUGUACUGCUGGAGUAUGUCUCAUUUGAAUCAUGUCAACAUAUAGUGAAUCAUGUCAACAUAUGGUUUUUACCCAAUAUUUAUGUCUCAUUUGAACGAGUGCCUGGUGUUUUUUUUUUUUUUUUUUCAUUUUUCUAAGAAUAUUAAACUUGAUAUUAUAUCAUAAGGAAAAGAGAACAUCUUGAUGAUACCCUUAUUUAUGGAUGUAAAAAUGAAAUGCCCUCAAAAAACCACUCUUCAUAUCUACUUUAUGCCCCCCAAGAUUUAUAGCAAAACUGACCCACAAGUUACAACAUUAGCAACCCUUGACUGGUGCUUCUGCACUAGGGUUUGGUUUCCCUGUAUAAUCUCAUCAUCGGCCUUUCUUAUAUGGUAUACAUGCAUUGCAUGUGCUCCUUCUAUUUAUGUUGAUAUAAUGAUAUUAUCAGCCUGAAAGAAGUGUAAAAAAAAACUGAGGAAAGACCACCUCAUUUAACCACCACAGCAGCAGUGAUGCCGGACAGCGAAAACUUGUUCCAGGGUUGAUCCUUGGAGGGCUGUUUUCUGUCGUUGUAACCGGACCAUUUCAUCUGCAUGAAGCUGCGCUUCCGCCAUGGCCCCAUGUGGAUCUUCUGCUCCUUCAUGGACCUCUUGGCGGCAUCGCAUACCACACGCAGGAUGGCGUUGAGGUAGUCGGAUUUUCCGAUGUAGGAUUUGGGGAGUUGGGCGAUGAGUCUGCGGUACUCAUCGCAGGCUUUGGCCAUCUCGAAUUCAGUUCGGAAUUCGAGCUCUAUAAGGAAUGGGAUUUGCUUCUUCCUCCCAGGGGUGCUUGCCAUUACCUCUAUAUAUUCAUGUGAUCCUGGAAAUGUAAGAAGGGGAUCAGCUACCACAUAGUAAUGGCAAACAGAAGAUUCCCGUAAUCCAAAUUAGAAUAAAAUAAGAAAAAUCAACAUAAUUACCUCCGGGGAACUUGUGAGUGUGCCUCCACUUGGAAGUACGGAGAGAGGCAGAG